rnacentral:rRNA from 1 species
AUUGAACGCUGGCGGCAGGCUUAACACAUGCAAGUCGAGCGGAGUGAUGGUGCUUGCACUAUCACUUAGCGGCGGACGGGUGAGUAAUGCUUAGGAAUCUGCCAUUUAGUGGGGGACAACAUUCCGAAAGGAAUGCUAAUACCGCAUACGUCCUACGGGAGAAAGCAGGGGAUCUUCGGACCUUGCGCUAAAUGAUGAGCCUAAGGCGGAUUAGCUAGUUGGUGGGGUAAAGGCCUACCAAGGCGACGAUCUGUAGCGGGUCUGAGAGGAUGAUCCGCCACACUGGGACUGAGACACGGCCCAGACUCCUACGGGAGGCAGCAGUGGGGAAUAUUAGACAAUGGGCGGAAGCCUGAUCCAGCCAUGCCGCGUGUGUGAAGAAGGCCUUUUGGUUGUAAAGCACUUUAAGCGAGGAGGAGGCUACUAGUACUAAUACUACUGGAUAGUGGACGUUACUCGCAGAAUAAGCACCGGCUAACUCUGUGCCAGCAGCCGCGGUAAGAC